GCCAUGCCUGGACUGAUGCUUCUGAAAGUCUAAACUGCCAGCAUUGGAGAAAAAUACUGAGCUCUCAAUAUGGCAUCUUCUUCUAGCAGAUGACUUUUAAUUGGUCAUUUUCCCUGUGUUGGAAAUCAAUAUACAUUGAACCUGUCAGAGAAAGGAAAGACUGGGAAUCCAGAAGUCCUUACACAGUUCUGUGUGGCAGUUUCCAGGGAAAUCAAUUUAGAAUGGUUGAUCAGCUCCAAGGAACCUGGAAGUCCAUUUCUUGUGAAAAUUUUGAAGAAUAUAUGAAAGAACUGGGAAUAAGGAGAGCCAGCAGGAAACUUGGCUGCCUGGCAAAACCUACUGUGACCAUCAGCACAGAAGGAGAUGUGAUCACUAUGAAAACCAAGAGCAUCUUUAAAAAUAAUGAGAUCUCCUUUAAACUGGGUGAAGAGUUUGAGGAAACCACACCAGGGGGCCAUAAAACCAAGAGUGUGGUAACAUGGGAUAAUGACUCCUUGAUUCAGGAUCAGAACUGGGAUGGGAGAGAGACCACCAUAAGGAGAAAGCUAGUGGAUGGGAAAAUGGUGGUGGAUCAAUUUCUCACUGUUUUUCAGUUCAUCACCAAACAAAAGUUUGAAAAGGAAAUUUAAACUAGAAAUGUGAUGCUUAAGUAAUGUCUACUUGGGGUAUGAAUGAGUUGACAAAAGUAAAACACUUUUAUGUGGCUACCAUGAACAUAUGCAUUUUACCCCAUCCUCACAAUAAUCUUCUGAAGUAAAAUCUAUCGGUUCAUUUAACAGGAGAGCACUGUGAACAGCAUAAUGAGCACUCGGACAU